CAAUUUCUUGCUUCUCUUUUAUCCUUGUCCCUGAUCUGCAAUUCCACUCUUCAAUAAUUUCUACCUCUGUUUAUCCUUUAGAUUCCUCUCGUUUCCUUCCUUCCAAUCACCACAUCAACACUGCCCACCACCCAGUUGUUUCUUGAACGCACUUGCAAUUAAAGAUUCGAUAUGGCUGUGGAAACUUGGCUUAUAAAAGUGAAAACUGCAAUAUCCCACGGCUUCGAUUCAGUCAUAACCUCGGCGCCCAUACCAAAAGCUUCAAUGAAGUCCAACGUUGGGGUUUUAUCUUUUGAGACCGCUGGACUUAUGUCGAAGCUCUUACAUCUAUGGCAAUCGCUCUCCGAUAAGAACAUAAUUCGCUUGCGAAAUGAAUCCAUCUCUCUCGAAGGUGUUCGGAAGAUUGUAUCCAACGAUGAGUCGUUCCUUCUCGGCCUCGCAUGCGGAGAAAUGGCUGAGAAUCUAAGGUUCGUUGCUAAAGCCGUCUCUAGAUUGAGCAAGCGAUGUGGGGACUCUAAUCUCUCCCGUUUUGAACGUCUCUUUGAUGACUUUGCCAACUCUGGUCGCGAUACUAAUUGCUGGGUCUUGAAUUACAAAGAAAUGGAAGCUAAGAACAAGAAGAUGGACAGGUACGUGACCGUCACAGCCACACUAUAUAAAGAGAUGGAGGAGCUAUCCUUUUUGGAGAAUGGAUUAAGAAAGGCCUUGCAGUGUAGUGAACAUGAGUCGACAGCGAAAGAGCAGAAGAUUAUGGAUCUUCAACAGAAGAUAUUCUGGCAGAGACAGCAGGUCAAGUAUCUGAAGGAGAGAUCCCUUUGGAAUCGAAGCUUCGAUGGUGUUGUCUCGAUGCUUGUGAGGUCUAUCUUCACUGUUUUAGCAAGGAUCAAGCUAGUUUUUGACAUAGGACAUGGGUAUCCAACUUCUCUACCUCGCAGUCUUUCUGCUUCUGCAACUAUCCACCCGACCGAAAACCAUGGUACUUGUAGCUUUGUGUCAGGGUCAUUAAAGAGCUCAAAACUAGAAGGAAAUAAAGAUUUCGCUAAUGGGUUUUUCGAGACAAAUUCGAAGCUGCUAAAGCCACCGGAAACUACGCUUGGUGCGGCAGCUUUUGCUCUACACUAUGCGAAUUUGAUUAUAGUUAUGGAGAAGAUGAUCAGGUCACCUCAACUAGUUGGUGUCGAUGCAAGAGAUGAUCUCUACUCCAUGCUACCAAACAGUAUAAGGUCUUUGCUAAGGGCUAGAUUGAAAGGCGUAGGAUUCUCGGCGAGCGAUCCAGUUCUUGCCGGAGAAUGGAAGGAUGCUUUGGGGAGGAUACUGGAAUGGCUGUCACCUUUAGCACAUAAUAUGAUUAAAUGGCAAAGUGAAAGGAGCUUUGAGCAGCAAAAUUUGUUGCCAAAAACCAAUGUUCUUCUCUUGCAAACGCUAUUCUUUGCAAACAAAGAGAAGACAGAAGCUGCCAUUACAGAACUUUUGGUGGGAUUGAAUUAUAUAUGGAGGUUUGAAAGGGAGAUGACUGCUAAAGCCUUAUUUGAAUGCUCCAACUUCAAUGGACUCCUUAAUUCAAAGAGGUCCAGCUAGAGGGAGAUGGUUUCUUCUCUUUCUUUUCUUUUUCAUAAAUUUUUGUUUAAAAGUUUAUCAUGUUUGAUCUUUAGAUUGAACAGAGUUACGUUUCAGAUUUUUGAGGGUUUGUCUUCCACCUGACCCCGAUCUGUAUAUGGCAAUGUAGAUGAGUAUAUGUACAUGAUAUGAUUUCAGUAAUCUUUCAUUUUCAAAAAAAAAAA
rnacentral:misc_RNA from 1 species